CUUUACAGCCAUGUCACCCUGCAGCCCAAGACUGGUUACUCACUGAAGUUAAGCAGGGCUGAGCCUGGUCAGUACCUGAAUGGGAAACCACAUAGGAAAACUAGGUUGCUGCUGGAA
rnacentral:rRNA from 1 species